UCCGAAUUUUGCCGAAAAGUAGAGCCAAAAGCACAAAGUCUUUUAACUGCGAAUUUUACUAAAUCAUAAUUUAAUAUAUGAUGACCGCGUGUACAACUUAUUCUGAUAACCCCUCAAUCAAACAACUAUAUAAUAAAGCAGUGUUUAAUUAGGGUAAUUAGUACAAAAAUGGUGAAACUAUACUUGUGUUUACUUUUGGCAACUGCCAACUUUUUCGCCUUAAUUGACGGUAAAACAAGUACUUUGGAACUAGUCCACGUGCUUUUCAGACACGGAGAUCGCACUCCUGACAGGCAUGUAAUCUAUCCUAAGGAUCCACACAUUAAUGAGACUUACUAUCCUUUCGGUUUUGGCCAACUUACCAAUGCUGGAAAACGGAAACAAUACUUACUAGGAAAAGCUUUACAUAAACGAUACAAGAAAUUUUUGGGCACUUAUACUUUAAACACAAUCGAUGCCCGUUCUACUGAUUACAACAGGACGAAAAUGUCGUUACAACUCGUCUUGGCUUCAUUAUUUCCACCAGAAAAAGAAUUAAUCUGGGAGAAAAAUCUGCAUUGGCAACCCAUUCCGUUUAAUUAUUUUCACCUCGAUGACGAUUACGUUUUGGGCGACCCUUUUAAAAACUGCAAACGGUACAAAAAUAGUUACAAUAAUUUUUUAAAUUCACUAGAUGGGCAAAAAUUGUUUGAACAAUAUUCAGAUAUUAAGAAAUACAUCAUCGACAAUAGUGGUUCAAAUUUUACGAGUAAGAAAAUGGCCGAUAUGUAUUUUACUUUGACGACGGAGCAAGAAAAUGGUCUUGUCUUGCCAGCCUGGACUGAAAAAGUUUACCCCAAAGUUUUAAGUGACUUAACUCACUUGGAAUAUUUUCUAAGUACUGCAAACACGGAAUUGAAAAAAUUGGCUUCAGGAUUUUUGUUGAAGAAAAUUAUUUACGACUCCGAGCAAAAAAUCAAGAAUAUGUUGCAUCAAAGAAAACGCAUGUUUAUAUAUUCAGCCCACGAAUACAAUAUCGCCCAUUUGAUGUAUCUUUUAGGAAUUUAUUAUCCUCAUGUUCCACCUUAUGGUUCUUAUAUGUUGAUUGAAAUUCACAACAUUAAAGGAAUUCGCAUCGUCAAAGUUUUUUAUCAAGAUUACAGGACAGAAAAGCCAAAACGGAUGAAACUGCCAAAUUGUAACAAUUUCUGUCGAUUUGAACGUUUCGUUAACCUCUAUAAAAAGUAUUUGCCUGAGUCUAGAAACGAGUGCGAACUUGCAGAUUAGAGGAUAAAAUAGAGGAUAAAUCAGUCUCAGAAAUUAUUUGACUAGUCAAGUAAUAGUUUUGUUCCUUAAGACAAAUAUAUUUAACUUUAUAAGUUAAUUUAAACAUCCGUAAUCCCAAAGGUUAUCAACAGGUAAUAACAUUUGAUUAAAAGUGAAGAAAUAACAAUUUCACAACUUGUUAGUUUCCUACUCCCAUUAUCAACCUCAACAAAUUAUUAACGCAUUUUUAAUUCAGUUUUAUCAAAAACCA